rnacentral:rRNA from 1 species
UAGGGAAUAUUGCACAAUGGGGGAAACCCUGAUGCAGCGACGCCGCGUGAGUGAUGAAGGCCUUCGGGUCGUAAAGCUCUGUCGUAUGGGAAUAACAAAAUGAAUGUACCAUGCAAGAAAGGAUCGGCUAACUUCGUGCCAGCAGCCGCGGUAAGACGAGGGAUCCUAGCGUUGUUCGGAAUCAUUGGGCGUAAAGCGGGUGUAGGCGGGCUUAUAAGUCAGUUGUGAAAUCCCAGGGCUCAACCCUGGAAGUGCAUUUGAUACUGUAAGUCUUGAAUGUGGUAGAGGUUACUAGAAUUCCUGGUGUAGUGGUGAAAUACGUAGAUAUCAGGAGGAAUACCAGAGGCGAAGGCGGGUAACUGGGCCAACAUUGACGCUGAGACCCGAAAGUGUGGGGAUCAAACAGG